UACGAAGGGGGCUAGCGUUGUUCGGAAUUACUGGGCGUAAAGCGCACGUAGGCGGAUUGUUAAGUGAGGGGUGAAAUCCCAGGGCUCAACCCUGGAACUGCCUCUCAUACUGGCAAUCUCGAGUUCGAGAGAGGUGAGUGGAAUUGCGAGUGUAGAGGUGAAAUUCGUAGAUAUUCGCAGGAACACCAGUGGCGAAGGCGGCUCACUGGCUCGAUACUGACGCUGGAGGUGACGAAAGCGUGGGGAGCAAACAGG
rnacentral:rRNA from 1 species